ACCAUUCUGGAGAAAGCGAUUAUAGCCGAGGGUGGAAGUGAGGCGUUGACUCAAUACCACAAAGAGAGAAAGAAUAAGAGCAAGGGAGAGGGAACCAAGGUAGAGAAUGCCAGUGGCAAUAUGCCAAAAAGAGAGAAUUUUAACUCCGGGAAUACUAGAGUGGGACAAGGAGAUUCUAAGCGUAAGUUCAAAGUGUGUAAGACAUAUGGGAAGACUCAUCUAGGAGUCUGUCUGAAA
rnacentral:lncRNA from 1 species